rnacentral:rRNA from 1 species
AAACCAGCACCUCAAGUGGUCAGGAUGAUUAUUGGGCCUAAAGCAUCCGUAGCCUGUUCUAUAAGUUUCCGGUUAAAUCCAUUAGCUCAACUAAUGGGCCGCCGAAAAUACUGUAGAACUAGGGAGUGGGAGAGGUAGACGGUAUUCGGUAGGAAGGGGUAAAAUCCUUUGAUCUAUUGAGGACCACCUGUGGCGAAGGCGGUCUACCAGAACACGUUCGACGGUGAGGGAUGAAAGCUGGGGGAGCAAACCGGAUUAGAAACCCCAGUAGUCC